rfam:Actinokineospora spheciospongiae strain EG49 contig1270_5, whole genome shotgun sequence.
CCGGUUUCGGUUCACCCCGUGACGGGGACCCGACGACC